rnacentral:lncRNA from 1 species
UCUUCGGUGUCCACUCAGCUGCUGGAGUUGCUGUGAGAUAAUGUACUCAAACAGGUCUGAGUACAGUCACGGUCGGCAGCACAGCGACCGAAGCUCACGGCAGUGGGACGGCUAUGAUGACAAAUGGGAAAGGCGUGAACCUCACAGAGAUAUACAGCGAGACUCCCAUCACAAAUAUGGUGGGGAUGGACAUGGUAGCACAGAGAGGACCAUCAGAGGUAGAGAGUAUAGUAACUCACCUAAGAGGCUGUACAGUAAAGACCCAUUGAACAGAGACCGGAGCAGAAGGAGCCCGGUAAGGAGACGCAUGUCUUCAUCUGAUCGGGGGACGUCUGAAAAGAAAAGGCAAAGGUUUACAGAGGGGUGUGAAGAUCAGUACAGUUACAGGCGUGUGUCUGAGGAUAAAGCAAGCAGGCGAUCACCAGACAGUUUUUCACGUACUCGCGCAACUACAGAUUUUAAACAUACGCUACCACAGGAAGAAGCUGUCAGCUACAGGAAACCCUCUCAAGACUCCAGACACAGAUACCGGCAGGAGGAGUUCAGCUUCAGGCAACAACAUGAUGAUUCAACUGGCAGACGAUCAUCUGGAUAUUACAAAGAUAGAGAUGGUGAUGAAAGGAGCUGGGACCGUUCACCAGAAAGGACACGAUCACAAGAUUGCUCUACGAAGGGUUAUGUCAAAACAAGAGCGAGGAAUGACAGUCCUUACAUGGAUCGCGAGGAUCAUUGUCAAGAUAGAACAAGGUUUACAUUGAAUGCAUCCAGUGGACAGUCUUUUGAGAGCGAUGUCCCCCACGACAGCGCUGCUGUUCCUGAGCAGAAGUCAUCAACAAAGGGUUUUCAGCGUUUCCUCGAUGUGCUCAACAAGGGUGUGAAUUUCGACACGCUCACCAAGAUAGUGACUCAGACCUCUACAAAAGUGGAUCCAGAACCACUUUCUCCAGUUCCUUUCAUAAACACCGCAGAUCGUCCAUGGUCUCCCAAUUGUGCUGGGAGGCAACAGGGAGGCCAUCAAAAUACCAGGCACUGGAGUGAGCAUGAGGGAUCCCAGACACUGCCUCCUCACAAGUCCUUCAGCCCACUGGGGAGCUGUCUGUCUGCUGAAAAAUCGCUGCAAAGGGGUGAUGGAGAACGAAGCUACAUCAGCUCCAACAAUAGAUCCAGGUCUCCCUCAGUGGCGGAGAAGAUACCGCUCACACCUGAGGAGGAGCACAAGCACAAGCAGAUGCAGGAUGUAUUGCAAGCUAUUGGCAUGAAUUUAGGAUCCGAGGAACUGGGCCAAAUGUCACAUCGGAUCCAGGAGAGGUUAUAUGGAAAAAAGGAUGUUGAUGGGGGCCGCCACCGUAGAGGAAGCAGGGAAAGGGACGUAAGACAAGCAUUUUCCCCAAGAAUGCAAAAUAGAUCAUCAUCAAGCAGGUCUAGUUUUAGCCCACCAACUCAGGAAUGUUACAUGAAAAAAGACUCAAUUAGUGCUCAGAGAGAUGUACCAGAGGUACACUUACAUAGACAUCAACUUGUUGACUAUGGCCAGAACAGCAGCAGUAACAAUUUAAGGGAGACUGACGCAUGUGAAGCUAACUCCCUGAAGAGCACUGCUGUGUGUCAAACAUUUUCUCAAAAUCCCACAUAUCCUUUGUCAGAGCCACCUCUUACACCCGUGAUGCCGAUGUACUCUCCAGUGAGCUGUUCACCGCUGCCGUACCCAGCUCUGCCUCCGAAUUUGCCCCCCACUGGACCGGGGCUUUUCUUGCCUCGUCUGCCUCCUUUCUUCCCCUACCCUCGUGUCCCAGCGUUGAACAUCUUACCAGCCGUACUCGCUCAAACGCAACAAAUGUUCCCACCGUACAUUGGUAAUCCUCAGCCAGUUCUUAACCUGCCACUUCAGCCCCUGAACAACAUGCAAAAAUCCAAGACGUUGUCAAGGCCCCGCUGUUUGCAGGUUAUUGAAACCAAACAACCUGGAUGA